AGAACGAACGCUGGCGGCAGGCCUCAAACAUGCAAGUCUAGGGGGUGUAGCAAUACAUCACCGGCGGACGGGUGCGUAACGCGUGGGAAUGUACCUAUUGGUUCGGAACAACUGAGGGAAACUUCAGCUAAUACCGGAUGAGCCCGAAAGGGGAAAGAUUUCUCGCCAAUAGAUCAGCCCGCGUCCGAUUAGCUAGUUGGUGGGGUUAAAGCCUACCAAGGCGACGAUCGGUAGCUGUUCUGAGAGGAAGAUCAGCCACACUGGGACUGAGACACGGCCCAGACUCCUACGGGAGGCAGCAGUUGGGAAUCUUGGACAAUGGGGGAAACCCUGAUCCAGCCAUGCCGCGUGAGUGAUGAAGGCCUUCGGGUUGUAAAACUCUUUCGGACGGGGACGAUAAUGACGGUACCCGUAGAAGAGCUCCGGCUAACUUCGUGCCAGCAGCCGC
rnacentral:rRNA from 1 species